rnacentral:rRNA from 1 species
UACGUAGGGGGCGAGCGUUGUUCGGAAUUAUUGGGCGUAAAGCGCGUGUAGGCGGUUCGGUAAGGCGGAUGUGAAAUCCCGGGGCUCAACCCCGGGCCGGCAUCCGCGACUGCCGGGCUGGAGUGUGGGAGGGGAGAGCGGAAUUCCUGGUGUAGCGGUGAAAUGCGUAGAUAUCAGGAAGAACACCCGUGGCUAAGGCGGCUCUCUAGUACGGUACUGACGCUGAGACGCGAAAGCGUGGGGAGUGAACAGG